ACAGGGAUUGCCCUAGUAACGGCGAGUGAAGCGGCAACAGCUCAAAUUUGAAAUCUGGCCUUCGGGUCCGAGUUGUAAUUUGUAGAGGAUGCUUUUGGUGCAGUGCCUUCCGAGUUCCUUGGAACAGGACGCCUUAGAGGGUGAGAGCCCCGUACGGUUGGACACUAAGCCUCUGUAAAGCUCCUUCGACGAGUCGAGUAGUUUGGGAAUGCUGCUCUAAAUGGGAGGUAAAUUUCUUCUAAAGCUAAAUACCGGCCAGAGACCGAUAGCGCACAAGUAGAGUGAUCGAAAGAUGAAAAGUACUUUGAAAAGAGGGUUAAAUAGCACGUGAAAUUGUUGAAAGGGAAGCGUUUAUGACCAGACCUUUGCCGGGCGGAUCAUCCGGUGUUCUUCACCGGUGCACUUCGCCCGGCUUAGGCCAGCAUCGAUUUCUGGAGGGGGACAAAGACCAUGGGAACGUAGCUCCUCUCGGGGAGUGUUAUAGCCCUAGGUGUAAUACCCUUCCGGGGAUCGAGGUUCGCGCUUCUGCAAGGAUGCUGGCGUAAUGGUCAUCAACGACCCGUCUUGAAACACGGACCAAGGAGUCGAACAUUUAUGCGAGUGUUUGGGUGUUAAACCCUCACGCGUAAUGAAAGUGAACGGAGGUGAGAGCCCUCUUUUGGGUGCAUCAUCGACCGAUCCUGAUGUAUUCGGAAGGAUUUGAGUAAGAGCAUAACUGUUCGGACCCGAAAGAUGGUGAACUAUGCGUGGAUAGGGUGAAGCCAGAGGAAACUCUGGUGGAGGCUCGCAGCGGUUCUGACGUGCAAAUCGAUCGUCAAAUCUGCGCAUGGGGGCGAAAGACUUAUCGAACCAUCUAGUAGCUGGUUACCGCCGAAGUUUCCCUCAGGAUAGCAGUGUUGUAUUCAGUUUUAUGAGGUAAAGCGAAUGAUUAGGGACUCGGGGGCGCUAUAUUGCCUUCAUCCAUUCUCAAACUUUAAAUAUGUAAGAAGCCCUUGUUACUUAAUUGAACGUGGGCAUUCGAAUGUAUCAACACUAGUGGGCCAUUUUUGGUAAGCAGAACUGGCGAUGCGGGAUGAACCGAACGCGAGGUUAAGGUGCCAGAGUAGACGCUCAUCAGACACCACAAAAGGUGUUAGUACAUCUGACAGCAGGACG
rnacentral:rRNA from 1 species